UGUGGUUUAAUUCGAUGCAACGCGAAGAACCUUACCUGGUCUUGACAUCCCGGAGACCCUUAGGAAACUAGGGGUGCUUCCAUCUGGAAGAAUCUGGAGACAGGUGCUGCAUGGCUGUCGUCAGCUCGUGUCGUGAGAUGUUGGGUUAAGUCCCGCAACGAGCGCAACCCUUGCCUUUAGUUGCCAGCAGUUCGGCUGGGCACUCUAAAGGGACUGCCGGUGUUAAACCGGAGGAAGGUGGGGAUGACGUCAAGUCCUCAUGGCCUUUAUGACCAGGGCUACACACGUACUACAAUGGCCGAUACAAAGGGCAGCGACACUGCGAGGUGAAGCCAAUCCCGUAAAAUCGGUCUCAGUCCGGAUUGGAGUCUGCAACUCGACUCCAUGAAGUUGGAAUCGCUAGUAAUCGUGGAUCAGCAUGCCACGGUGAAUACGUUCCCGGGCCUU
rnacentral:rRNA from 1 species